rnacentral:sRNA from 1 species
GUCGUGAGAUGUUGGGUUAAGUCCCGCAACGAGCGCAACCCUCGUCCCUAGUUACCAGCGGGUAAAGCCGGGAACUCUAGGGAGACUGCCGGUGUCAAACCGGAGGAAGGUGGGGACGACGUCAAGUCAUCAUGGCCCUUACGUCCAGGGCGACACACGUGCUACAAUGGCCGGUACAGGGCGUCGCUAACUCGCAAGAGUACGCUAAUCGCUAAAAGCCGGUCUAAGUUCGGAUUGUGGGCUGCAACUCGCCCACAUGAAGCCGGAAUCGCUAGUAAUCGCGGAUCAGCCACGCCGCGGUGAAUACGUUCCCGGGCCUUGUACACACCGCCCGUCACGCCAUGGAAGUUGGGGGGACCUGAAGCCGGUGGGCUAACCCGCAAGGGAGGCAGCCGUCAAAGGUCAAUCCAAUGACUGGGGCGAAGUCGUAACAAGGUAGCCGUAGGGGAACCUGCGGCUGGAUCACCUCCUUUCUGGAGCAUCGAGUAGACGGUCGGCUUGCCGAUCCGCCGAAAGAUCUCUAGUUGUCGCUCCGCACCUCAAACUCUCUCUCACAUACGCUCGGUCGCUCUUUGACAACCGAAGGACAUGGAUGGGGAUCAUGACGUGAUAAGCGUCAUGAUUCAUAGAUCGCGGAAUCACUCAACGAUGUGUUGAGUAGUAAAGAACCAAUCGAAUUUGAGGUCAAACGCAAUAAGGCACACGGUGGAUGCCUUGGCACCAAGAGGCGAUGAAGGGCGCGAUAAGCUGCGAAAAGCCUGGGGGAGUCGCACAUAGGCUGCGAUCCCAGGAUGC